UCGAGAAUCAUUCACAAUGGGGGCAACCCUGAUGGUGCAACGCCGCGUGGAGGAUGAAGGCCCUAGGGUCGUAAACUCCUGUCAUAAUAGAGUAAGACUUAGUCGUUAAUAGCUUCUAAGUUUGAUAGUAUAUUAAGAGGAAGGGACGGCUAACUUCGUGCCAGCAGCCGCGGUAAUACGAAGGUCCCGAGCGUUAUUCGGAAUCACUGGGCGUAAAGGGAGCGUAGGCUGCGUGGUAAGUCAGAUGUGAAAGCCCAGGGCUCAACCCUGGAACUGCAUUCGAUACUGCCAUGCUAGAGUAGUGGAGAGGUAAAUGGAAUUUUGGGUGUAGCAGUGAAAUGCGUAGAUAUUCAAAGGAAGACCAAUGGCGAAGGCAAUUUACUGGACACUUACUGACGCUGAGGCUCGAAGGCUAGGGGAGCGAAAGGG
rnacentral:rRNA from 1 species